UCGGAUCGCAGGCUGCAACCCGCCCUGCGUGAAGUCGGAAUCGCUAGUAAUCGCGGAUCAGCAUGCCGCGGUGAAUACGUUCCCGGGCCUUGUACACACCGCCCGUCACACCAUGAGAGUCGGGAACACCCGAAGUCCGUAGCCUAACCGCAAGGAGGGCGCGGCCGAAGGUGGGUUCGAUAAUUGGGGUGAAGUCGUAACAAGGUAUC
rnacentral:rRNA from 1 species